UCCCUGGUGGCUCAGAUAGUAAAGCGUCUGCCUGCAAUGCGGGAGACCCGGGUUUGAUCCCUGGGUUGGGAA
rnacentral:tRNA from 1 species